rnacentral:rRNA from 1 species
CGCCCAAUAGCUAGCCCAACCAUCAACCCCAAACCCACCCUAUCUAUACCCCCAAACACACCACCACCCAACAAACAAACCAUUUUUCCACCUAAGUACGGGCGACGAAAAAGGACCAAGGAGCAACAGAGAAAGUACCGCARGGGAAAGCUGAAAGAGUAAUGAAACAACCCAGUAAAGCACUAAAAAGCAGAGACCACCCCUCGUACCUUUUGCAUCAUGAUUUAGCCAGAAAACCUUAAGCAAAAGGCAUUAUAGUUUGAUACCCCGAAACUAAGCGAGCUACUCCAAGACAGUCUAAUUUAUAGGACCACCCCGUCUCUGUGGCAAAAGAGUGGGAAGAACUUUGAGUAGAGGUGACAGACCUACCGAGCCUAGUUAUAGCUGGUUGCCUGAGAACUGAAUAGAAGUUCAGCCCUUUAAAUUCUUCAUCCCCAUUGGCCCAAGGCCUCCACACCGAACAAAAGAAAUUAAAGGAGUUAGUCAAAGGGGGUACAGCCCCUUUGAAACAAGAUACAACUUUCCAAGGAGGGUAAAGAUCACAACAAACUUAAAGGUCUAAUGUCCUAGUGGGCCUAAAAGCAGCCACCUACCCAGAAAGCGUUAAAGCUCGAACAUUACACAACCAGCCUUCUAAUAAAGACAACACAAUCUCACCCCCCUAAACCUACCAGGCCGUUCCAUAAACAUAUGGAAGCGUCUAUGCUAAUAUGAGUAAUAAGAGAGACCCCCUCUCUCCCCGCACAAGUGUAACUCGGAACGAACCAUUCACCGACCAUUACGGCCCCAAAACAAAGNNNNNCACUAGACAAAAAACAANNNNNUAGNNNNNNNNNNNNNNNNNNNNCCCCCCACCGUUAACCCCACACUGGUGUGCCAACCGAGAAAGACUAAAAGAAAAAGAAGGAACUCGGCAAACACAAGCCUCGCCUGUUUACCAAAAACAUCGCCUCUUGUUCCCCUAAACAUAAGAGGUCCCGCCUGCCCUGUGACUAUAA